CCUACGGGAGGCAGCAGUGAGGAAUAUUGGUCAAUGGACGAGAGCCUGAACCAGCCAAGUAGCGUGAAGGAUGACUGCCCUAUGGGUUGUAAGCAUCUUUUAUAAAGGGAUAAAACGAGACACGUAUGCCUUUUUGCAUGUACUUUAUGAAUAAGGAUCGGCUAACUCCGCGCCAGCAGCCGCGGUAAUACGGAGGAUCCGAGCGUUACCCGGAUUUAUUGGGUUUAAAGGGAGCGUAGAUGGGUUGUUAAGUCAGUUGUGAAAGUUUGCGGCUCAACCGUAAAAUUGCAAUUGAUACUGGCAGUCGUGAGUACAGUUGAGGUAGGCGGAAUUCGAGGUGUAGCGGUGAAAUGCUUAGAGAUCACGAAGAACCCCGAUGGCGAAGGCAGCUUACUAAACUGUGACUGACAUUGAGGCGCGAAAGUGUGGGGAUCAAACAGGAUUAGAUACCCUGGUAGUC
rnacentral:rRNA from 1 species